AUUGAACGCUGGCGGCAUGCCUUACACAUGCAAGUCGAACGGUAACAGGUCUUCGGAUGCUGACGAGUGGCGAACGGGUGAGUAAUACAUCGGAACGUGCCCGAGAGUGGGGGGAUAACGAAGCGAAAGCUUUGCUAAUACCGCAUACGAUCUCAGGAUGAAAGCAGGGGACCGCAAGGCCUUGCGCUCACGGAGCGGCCGAUGGCAGAUUAGGUAGUUGGUGGGAUAAAAGCUUACCAAGCCGACGAUCUGUAGCUGGUCUGAGAGGACGACCAGCCACACUGGGACUGAGACACGGCCCAGACUCCUACGGGAGGCAGCAGUGGGGAAUUUUGGACAAUGGGCGCAAGCCUGAUCCAGCCAUGCCGCGUGCAGGAUGAAGGCC
rnacentral:rRNA from 1 species